UACGAAGGGGGCUAGCGUUGCUCGGAAUCACUGGGCGUAAAGCGCACGUAGGCGGAUUGUUAAGUCAGGGGUGAAAUCCUGGAGCUCAACUCCAGAACUGCCCUUGAUACUGGCGGUCUCGAGUCCGGGAGAGGUGAGUGGAACUGCGAGUGUAGAGGUGAAAUUCGUAGAUAUUCGCAAGAACACCGGUGGCGAAGGCGGCUCACUGGCCCGGUACUGACGCUGAGGUGCGAAAGCGUGGGGAGCAAACAGG
rnacentral:rRNA from 1 species